GGAAGGUUGGCAGAGUGGUCGAAUGCACCGGUCUUGAAAACCGGCAGGGGCGCAAGUUCCUCCAGGGUUCGAAUCCCUGACCUUCCGCCA
rnacentral:tRNA from 1 species